GGGCCCCGGGCCCCCGGGCCCCGCGGGCCUGGUGCCAGUGCUUCUCUCUCCCCUCGGGGAGGCCCUGAAGCCCCGGGCCCGGCAGCCCUUUCCUGAAGCAGCGACGGCCCACCUGGCUCCUCCUCCCCGAGGUGACAUGUUGAGGUUGGGUGGUGCGUUUCCUGCCACUGCAGAACCCCCACGGUUUCGGGGAAGGCCUAGCCGUGUCGGACACAUGCCUGUUGCACCCCAUAUGGGGCUCUCUCCGGAACCUUCGCUCUCUCUAAGAGAAGGGUGGGGCAGGAAGAAAGAGAAUCCUGAAGCAGACUCCCUGCUGAGCGGGGAGCCCGUUGUGGGCUCCAUCCCAGGACCCUGAGAUCAUGACCUCAGCUGAAAUCAAGAGUUGGAUGGUCAAUCGACUGAGCCACUCAGGUGCCUCCCCCCUUUCUUUUAUAAUACAGUUUUUUUAGAAUAAUUUUUUCUUUAACAACCCUGGCAAAUCCAGCCCAGGCUACCUCAGAGAGCCACUUUUUUUUUUUUUUAAGAUGCAAAGCUUUAAAUAGGAGCCAGAACUAAAAGACAUUGCAUGUGUAAUGAAAUGCUUUUAGCCUUUAGUUCCUACCUAACUUUGCUCUACCCUUAUUGUCCCCCAAAGUCCUUGACCAGUGUUAAAUUUCUCCCUGAGAGGGAAUGGGGUUUGUGUGUGGAAAUCCUUGGGCUCCCUCUAGUGGUUAGAGUGUGCAUUCAGCACUGACUGGCAAACACACUGCGUGUGUUGGGAAGCUGUAGUUGCUGUUGUUUUAGUGCUAACGUUAGGAAACUUAGGGUGUUGCUUUCCCCCUCCAGGGAGCUUAGCAGAGUAUCAGAAAUGUCCUGUCUGUACCUUUGUGCAACUGAUUCUUUAACCCUUGCUAGUUCUCCGCUUGGGACUCGUGAAAUGGGUAGGUAGUUCAGCCAUUUUGCAAAUGUUCCUUUGAUGUUCUACCCAGGGAGCCAGUUAUGUCAAGACAGUCUAUCAAACGCAGCCCAAGUGGACCACAUGCAUGGGAAGAUCCUAGAGUAUUUCUUUAAAAUGAAGAUUUCUGUGUGCCACCCCAGACCUCUGAAUCAGAAUUUCGGGGAUGCGGAUGGAAUUAGAGGGUAUUGUGCUAAAUGAAAUCAGUCAGUCAGAGAAAGACAAAUACCAUAUGAUUUCACUCAUAUGUGGAAUUUAAGAAACAAGACAGAUGAACAGAGGGGAAGGGAAGGAAAAAUAAAAUAAGAUGAAAAUAGGGAGGCA
rnacentral:lncRNA from 1 species